GCCUCCGUGGCGCAAUUGGCUAGCGCGUUCGGCUGUUAACCGAAAGGUUGGAGAUUCGAGCCCUCCCGGGGGCG
rnacentral:tRNA from 1 species